AAUGAUCAGCAGUCACUUUCUCUUUAACAUUAUGACAUAAUCUGUUUUCUUGGGUGUUACCUGCUUUCAUAAUGGUAAAUUUAGAUCCAAAGCUAUUACAUGAAAUUCUCUUGACUGGGAAAAACUUGUUGCAUGAAAAUGAAUGAUGUGCCCAGUUCCUCCUGAGCAGAGUCAUGACAGGUGGAUGGCUUAUUACCUGGAGACAAGACCAUCUUCCCAGUUGAUCACCUGCCAUUCAAUUGUCCCCUUUCCUUCCUAGAAGAGGCUGGAGAGAGGUGCCUGGAGUCCAAAUCUAUGGAAAGAGCUAAAGAGCCAUCUGAAACAGGUUGACAAUGGAUGGGAUGGAUUGCAGGAUCCCUGCUAAGGCUGAUUUUUCUCCUUUCCUGAAAAAUCCACUGAGAUUGCUAAAGCACAAGUGCCUCCUCCUCUUCCCUACCCUUUUAGACAAGUGACGGCUACAAAACAGGAAGAGGAAAGGAAGAAAAGAGAAGGCAAGAAGAGGAUGAGAAAUAUGUAUGAGGAUAUUCAUGCUUCAAUCACAAGCUGAACUAAAUGACUUCUGAGGGUUUUUUUCCCUAACCCUUAAGAUUCUGAUAAUUCUGAAAACUCAAUUGUGAUGUCUUGAGGGUAUUUCAAACUCAACUUGUCCAAAACACAACAUAUUAUAUUUGCUUAGAGUGUAUUCCUUCUCUAAACUUUCUUGCCCUUUUCAAAAUGGGGCAUCACCAUUUGUUUCCAGUCACCCAAAUUUGAUGACAUUCUAUUAUCAUCCUUGGCUCCUCACUCUCAGUUAACUCAUUUUUUAUAAUUUCUUUCUCUGUAACAUCUUUCAUAUACCUUCCCUUUUCUCUAUUCAAACGUCAGGAAUUUAUCAUCCCCUAGAUCAUCCCAUCUAGACUACUAGAAUGAUCUUUUUAUUGUGUUUUUUUUUUUUUACUCUGUUUCUCUCCACUUUUAUCCAUUCAUUCUCCAUUCAACUGUCAAAGCAACUAUUCUAAUGUUUGAAUCUGGCUAUGUUACUUCUGUACUCAGUGAAUUCUCUAUUACCUCUAGGAUCAAAUAUAAA